GGUCCAGUGGUUGGGACUCUGCACUUCCACUGCAGGGGUGCAGGUUCAAUCCCUGAU
rnacentral:tRNA from 1 species